AUGAUUAUUAGGAGGUUUUAAAUAUAAUUGAGCAGCAUAUUUGUGGAAAAUGGAUUACAACCCAAAUGACUGAAGAGGAGCAAAACGCGUCAAAAAUUGCAUUCUGUUCAAAAAGCGGAUUCCCCGGAGUAGUGGGUUGUGUCGAUGGGACUCACGUUCGCAUCAUUUCACCAAAAAAAGAAAUGCAACAUCUUUAUCUAAACAGGAAAGGCUACUACAGUUUAAACGUCAUGAUUCUUUGCGAUUACAAAAUGGCUAUCCGGUAUGUGGAUGCUAGGCACGCGGGCGCAAAUCACGAUUCCUUUGUUUUUAACGUAAGCGAUUUGAAAGAGCAUCUGCAAAGAAACAUACAGAGUAAUUCCUGGAUUUUAGGGAAGACUGGUCAUUAGUAUUUAAUACAAAAAUAGAUUGUUUAAAAUAUUCCUUAAAUGUGACGCUGGUUACCCUCUACAAACUUUUUUAAUGACUCCUUUCCGCAUGGCAGAAGCUGGUUCACCACAAGCUCGUUACAAUACAAUACACUCUAAGGCUCGAAAUAUUGUAGAACGGACGAUUGGAAUAUUGAAAAGCCGAUUUCGUUGUCUUUUAUCUGUGUGUGGCUUACAUUAUUCACCAGCAAAAUCUACACAAAUUGUGCACGCUUGCUGCGCUAUGCAUAAUAUUUGUCAACACUUUCGCGUGGAACUUUCUGAAGAAAUUGCAACCGCUUUAAGUACGGAACUAAGCAAUGAAAACCUAAACAUUGAAACAGAAGACGAGGAUGCCGCCAGAAGAAUUCGCAAUAUUUUGUUAUCCAUUUAAUAGAAAUAAAAAACUCUAACUCACA